rnacentral:tRNA from 1 species
GCCUGGGUGGCUCAGUUGGUGGAGCAUCUGACUUCUGCUCAGGUCAUGAUCUCAUGGUUCCUGAGUUCAAGCCCCAAGUCGGGGCU